rnacentral:rRNA from 1 species
GAUGAACGCUGGCGGCGUGCCUAAUACAUGCAAGUCGAGCGAACAGACGAGGAGCUUGCUCCUCUGACGUUAGCGGCGGACGGGUGAGUAACACGUGGAUAACCUACCUAUAAGACUGGGAUAACUUCGGGAAACCGGAGCUAAUACCGGAUAAUAUAUUAAACCGCAUGGUUCAAUAGUGAAAGACGGUUUUGCUGUCCCUUAUAGAUGGAUCCGCGCCGCAUUAGCUAGUUGGUAAGGUAACGGCUUACCAAGGCAACGAUGCGUAGCCGACCUGAGAGGGUGAUCGGCCACACUGGAACUGAGACACGGUCCAGACUCCUACGGGAGGCGGCAGUAGGAAAUCUUCGGCAAUGGGCGAAAGCCUGACGGGGCAACGCGGCGUGAGUGAUGAAGGUCUUCGGAUCGUAAAACUCUGUUAUUAGGGAAGAACAAAUGUGUAAGUAACUAUGCACGUCUUGACGGUACCUAAUCAGAAAGCCACGGCUAACUACGUG